UACAGAGGUCUCAAGCGUUGUUCGGAAUCACUGGGCGUAAAGGGUGCGUAGGUGGCGUGGCAAGUCAGAUGUGAAAGCCCAGGGCUCAACCCUGGAAUUGCAUCCGAUACUGCCAUGCUGGAGUACUGAAGAGGUGACUAGAAUUCUCGUUGUAGCAGUGAAAUGCGUAGAUAUCGAGAGGAAUACCAAAGGCGAAGGCAGGUCACUGGGCAGUUACUGACACUGAGGCACGAAGGCCAGGGGAGCAAACGGG
rnacentral:rRNA from 1 species